UACGUAGGGUGCAGGCGUUAAUCGGAAUUACUGGGCGUAAAGCGUGCGCAGGCGGUCUGUCACGUCGGAUGUGAAAUCCCCGGGCUCAACCUGGGAACUGCAUUCGAAACUGGCAGGCUAGAGUCUUGUAGAGGGGGGUAGAAUUCCAGGUGUAGCGGUGAAAUGCGUAGAGAUCUGGAGGAAUACCGGUGGCGAAGGCGGCCCCCUGGACAAAGACUGACGCUCAGGUGCGAAAGCGUGGGGAGCAAACAGG
rnacentral:rRNA from 1 species